rnacentral:rRNA from 1 species
UGGGGGAUAUUGCACAAUGGGCGAAAGCCUGAUGCAGCGACGCCGCGUGGGGGAUGAAGGCUUUCGGGUUGUAAACCUCUUUCGCUAUCGAACAAGGCCCGCUUAGGGUGGGGUGAGGGUAGGGGGAGAAGAAGCGCCGGCUAACUACGUGCCAGCAGCCGCGGUAAUACGUAGGGCGCGAGCGUUGUCCGGAAUUAUUGGGCGUAAAGGGCUUGUAGGCGGCUUGUUGCGCCUGCUGUGAAAACGCGGGGCUUAACUUCGCGCGUGCAGUGGGUACGGGCGGGCUUGAGUGUGGUAGGGGUGACUGGAAUUCCAGGUGUAGCGGUGGAAUGCGCAGAUAUCUGGAGGAACACCGAUGGCGAAGGCAGGUCACUGGGCCAUUACUGACGCUGAGGAGCGAAAGCAUGGGUAGCGAACAGG